rnacentral:rRNA from 1 species
UACAUAGGUGGCAAGCGUUGUUCGGAAUUACUGGGCGUAAAGGGCGCGUAGGCGGCCAUCUAAGUCAGACGUGAAAUCCCCCGGCUUAACCUGGGAACUGCGUCUGAUACUGGAAGGCUCGAGUUUGGGAGAGGGAUGUGGAAUUCCAGGUGUAGCGGUGAAAUGCGUAGAUAUCUGGAGGAACACCGGUGGCGAAGGCGGCAUCCUGGACCAACACUGACGCUGAGGCGCGAAAGCUAGGGGAGCAAACGGG